GGUGAGGGUCACAAUAGCGAUGCCAUUUAGACAGGGUCAGAUUGGACGCUUUAGCUUUUGCAGACAAACAGUUUUCAAAUGAUGCCUGUGAUAUGCCUGAUUGGAAACAAAGAGAUAAAAUUAAGCAAGCAAGAGUGGGACGUCACCUAUAGGCAGAGUGACCUCUGACUUGGACUGAUGACCACCGUAAUGCAGGUUACCUUUUUCUGAGUAGGCUGGAAUGAGUUAUAAAUGGAGCAAGACACUGAGGUGGUAAACACAAUGGACCAUGAUGACUUCACUAAUCUACCUUCUGUCAAUCCAAGGGACGCUUUUGGAAACAAUUUUGUCAAGUAGAUGAUAUGCUACCAGAUGUGAAUUUGUUUAACUCCAGAAGAAAAUUCUUAUCUGAUAUGCCAACUGAAGACGGACAUUUUCUGAUAUACAGUACAGGUUUCAGGUGUUUUCACAUUAAACAUGAAAAGCACAUAUUGUUAUUGUCUUUCCAUCAAUCCCAGUGGACCGAUUUCAUUGUAAUUUGGUACACUUACUCUUCAAAGAAAUUUGUGUUGAAAGUUCU